rnacentral:rRNA from 1 species
UAGGGAAUCUUCGGCAAUGGACGGAAGUCUGACCGAGCAACGCCGCGUGAGUGAAGAAGGUUUUCGGAUCGUAAAGCUCUGUUGUUAGAGAAGAACGUUGGUAGGAGUGGAAAAUCUACCAAGUGACGGUAACUAACCAGAAAGGGACGGCUAACUACGUGCCAGCAGCCGCGGUAAUACGUAGGUCCCGAGCGUUGUCCGGAUUUAUUGGGCGUAAAGCGAGCGCAGGCGGUUCUUUAAGUCUGAAGUUAAAGGCAGUGGCUUAACCAUUGUACGCUUUGGAAACUGGAGGAAUUGAGUGCAGAAGGGGAGAGUGGAAUUCCAUGUGUAGCGGUGAAAUGCGUAGAUAUAUGGAGGAACACCGGUGGCGAAAGCGGCUCUCUGGUCUGUAACAGACGCUGAGGCUCGAAAGCGUGGGGAGCAAACAGG